rnacentral:rRNA from 1 species
AUCGUCGGCCAUAGAAUUGGGAAAGUAGCGAACCCCGUCCGCUCUUCGAAGUUUGAACCUCAAUAUCGCUCGGCUAGGACCAUCGUGGGGGACCAGAUGGGAAUCCUGGGUGCUGACGUUU